rnacentral:lncRNA from 1 species
UGUUUUGAAUUUGUUCUUGUUACUAGAAGAAGGUGGAUAAGGCAGAUGAGCUUGAUGGUGGAGGAGAUAACAAAACCGUUGUGUGGCUUGAAGACGUCGGAGCUCUCGUGGUAACGAGACUGCGGUGGCGAAGGAAGAAGAAAAUAAUGACCUCCCGGCUCUCGUGAUAUGGAAGAAACACGCGGUGGUUUAGUUAAGUUUAGAUUUUGUCGACACGGCUGCAAGCUUUAUUGUUUCUAGGUUAUAGAUUAUGGUUGGUUUAUAAUUAAACUCAGCCGUAAGGUAUGCAUAACUCAGCUGUAAGU